ensembl:snRNA U6 U6 spliceosomal RNA
GUGCACACUCGGGCAGCACAUAUACUACAAUUGGGAUGAUACCGAGAGAAUUAGCAUGGCCUCUGAGCAAGGAUGACAUGCAAAUUCGUGAAGCAUUCCAUAUCUCC